CUACAUACAGGGCUUAAAGUCUUGUAAUUGGAAUGAUGGGAAUCUAAACCCUUCCCAGAGUAUCAAUUGGAGGGCAAGUCUGGUGCCAGCAGCCGCGGUAAUUCCAGCUCCAAUAGCGUAUAUUAAAGUUGUUGCAGUUAAGAAGCUCGUAGUUGAAUUUCUGCCUUGUCAUUAAUCUCGCUUCCGAGCGUUUUUUUAUUGACUUGGCAUCUUCUGGAUUUGGUGCCUUCGGGUACUAUUUUCCAGGAUUUACUUUGAGAAAACUAGAGUGUUUCAAACAGGCAUUCGCCUUGAAUACUACAGCAUGGAAUAAUGAAGUAGGACUUUGGUUCUAUUUUGUUGGUUAUUGAGCCAGAGUAAUGGUUAAUAGGAGCAGUUGGGGGAUCGGUUAUUUAAAAUAU
rnacentral:rRNA from 1 species